GGUAGCCGGCCUGAGAGGGUGACCGGCCACACUGGGACUGAGACACGGCCCAGACUCCUACGGGAGGCAGCAGUGGGGAAUAUUGCACAAUGGGCGCAAGCCUGAUGCAGCAACGCCGCGUGAGGGAUGACGGCCUUCGGGUUGUAAACCUCUUUUAGUAGGGAAGAAGCGAAAGUGACGGUACCUGCAGAAAAAGCACCGGCUAACUACGUGCCAGCAGCCGCGGUAAUACGUAGGGUGCAAGCGUUGUCCGGAAUUAUUGGGCGUAAAGAGCUCGUAGGCGGCUUGUCGCGUCUGCUGUGAAAUCCCGGAGCUCAACUCCGGGCCUGCAGUGGGUACGGGCAANCUAGAGUGCGGUAGGGGA
rnacentral:rRNA from 1 species